CCAGCACACAGUAGGUGUGCAACAAACUGGAGUUGCCCGCACAGAGGGAAGGAGGGCACAGCCGAUCUGUACAUUUAUUUACAAGGCACAAGCUGACAGCAGGCUGGGGGCUGCCCAGGGACCUUCACACUCCUGGGCAUGCUGACCCAGUCUUCUAGGUGGAGGAUGGGCCCAGAGAGGUUUGGUUGGGCAGGCUUAACCCACAGGCAAGCUCAGGGGUGGUCUCCUGUGUCCCUCAGGCCUCUCGUCUGCCCCUCCAUCGGGCCCAGGCAGGGCGCCCUCUCUCUCUCAGAGUUCCUAUGUGUUGGUGGUCACAAAGAAGGUGGGCAGGGGUCGGCUGGCCUAGAUGGUGCCUUAUCUGUUGGGAGUGGAGGGGCAUGGAGGUCCUGGUUCACAAAGCCUGCUCUGUCUUCCUGGGCAGCUGGGGUGCCUUUCUGCCCCGCCAGAACCCUCCCAUACACAACCUUGGAAGCCCAACAUGUGGGACCCCCAGCCACCACAUGCCAGCCCAGAGCAAGUCCAGGCUAGGGAUGCCCCAGGAGGGGCAGACAGGGGCCACAGGGCAGCGCUCAAACGGGGAGCUAGGGAGGGGACAGGGGAGUGACUUCAAGGCUCGUGGAGGCUGGGAUGCGGCUGCUGGGCCCAAGCCCUGUCUGGGGGGCACAUUAGCAGUAUGGAUCCAGGCCACACUCCAGGAGAGGCAGCUGGCAUCAGGGAAGCGUCACUGAGUGGGGGCAUGGGGAGCCCUGAGCCUCCUGGCCUGACACAGCCUUGUCUUGCCCAGCCUGUCCCAGGGGCCUGGCCUGCCUUCUGGGCUGUGUGGCCUCAGCCCGGCCACCAGCGGCUGCGGUCCAGGCCUCAGAGCCUCAGACCCCCAGAGCCAUGAGGGCUCCCGAGCUGGUGAUCUUCUUAAAGCGGGUUGGCAGCACUGACGGCAAUAAAGUUUUUCUAGGGGAGGAGAAAGAAGGAAUCUUAUUCAGCACUGGUACAGGGGAGAAAGUGUGGGACAGCUGAG
rnacentral:lncRNA from 1 species